UACGAAGGGACCUAGCGUAAUUCGGAAUUACUGGGCGUAAAGCGCGCGUAGGCGGUUAAGUAAGUUAAUUGUGAAAGCCCAAAGCUCAACUUUGGAAUUGCAAUUAAAACUACUUAGCUAGAGUUUAUCAGAGGAAAGCGGAAUGCAUAGUGUAGAGGUGAAAUUCGUAGAUAUUAUGUAGAACACCAGUUGCGAAGGCGGCUUUCUGGGAUAACACUGACGCUGAGGUGCGAAAGUAUGGGUAGCGAAGAGGAUUAGAUACCCUCGUAGUCCAUACCGUAAACGAUGAUUGUUAGAUGUUGGAAAUUUAUUUUCAGUAUCACAGCUAACGCGUUAAACAAUCCGCCUGGGGAGUACGACCGCAAGGUUAAAACUCAAAUGAAUUGACGGGGACCCGCACAAGCGGUGGAGCAUGUGGUUUAAUUCGAAGCUACGCGCAGAACCUUACCAACACUUGACAUGUCUGUCGCGGAUUCCAGAGAUGGUUUCCUUCGGUUCGGCCGGACGAAACACAGGUGCUGCAUGGCUGUCGUCAGCUCGUGUCGUGAGAUGUUGGGUUAAGUCCCGCAACGAGCGCAACCCCUACUUUUAGUUGCCAUCAGGUUAAGCUGGGCACUCUAAUAGAACUGCCUGUGAUAAACAGGAGGAAGGUGGGGAUGACGUCAAGUCCUCAUGGCCCUUACGGGUUGGGCUACACACGUGCUACAAUGGUAAGUACAAUGAGAUGCCGAACAGCGAUGUUUAGCCAAACUCAAAAACUUACCUCAGUUCGGAUUGCACUCUGCAACUCGAGUGCAUGAAGCUGGAAUCGCUAGUAAUCGUGGAUCAGCGUGCCACGGUGAAUACGUUCCCGGGUCU
rnacentral:rRNA from 1 species